rnacentral:misc_RNA from 1 species
GAACGCAACUUGCGCCCUCUGGUAUUCCGGAGGGCAUGCCUGUUUGAGUGUCAUGUAGUAUCAAUCCCUCAGGUUUCUGGGAAGAUUGGAUUUGGGUGUCUGCCAUGCCAAUGGCUCGCCUUAAAUGAAUUAGUGGGAAAGUUGACCCAGUUGGGAGUAAUAAGUUUCUCUCGAUCAAGUUGAUUAGACUGCUCAUAACAACUAUAUUUAUGACUCUGACCUCAAAUCAGGUAGGACUACCCGCUGAACUUAA